UUAAUACUCACUCAGUCCAAUAAAAGAUGUCUCAAGUUUGUCAAAAUUUGUAUAUUUCUAAAUGUGACUUAAUGUAUAGAUGCAUUCAAAUUUAAUCAAAGUUGAGAUACCUUUUGUUGGACGGAGAAAGUAAUCU
rnacentral:pre_miRNA from 1 species